AAAAAUAGGAAGACAAUAACCCAUAGAAAAGCUUGAAAAAAAGGACUUUUACAUAACUAUUUACGCGGGGCAUGUAAAAGAGUGAAAUAAACGAGAGAGUAUUGAACAAUUUUCUGCUUGCUUCUUGUUCAUUGAAUGUAUACCUAUUUGUACAACUUAUGAGCUAAGAGAAUAAAAUAAUAAUCAAUGAAACCUUCAUAGAGUUUGUCUGACUAGUGUUGGCUAAAGAAAUGACAAAAUAACUACCUAAGGAAUCCUAUAUAACAAAAUCAUGUGGAAAUAGAAGGAUCUAGAAUGGGAUCCAAUAUUUUAACUCUAUCUAAUUGAUGUGUCUAUACAAAUUGAGCAAAUGGCCCAAUUGUCACUAAAUGAGCAGGCAUCCCAAUUGUCUAAUUUGUCUGAGGCCCAAUUGUCUGAUUUGUCUGAGGCCCAAAUGUUGAAUCAACUAGCUUUGAAUAUAUGGAACCUUUUACCUUUUCCUUCUUCUCCAUUAAGGUCUUCUUCAUCUGCUCCAUUAAUACCAGAGUUAACAUCCCCCCCCCCCUUCAAGUUGGAGGGGAGAGAAGAGACCCCCAACUUGCCAAGAAUGGAAAAAUGAGAAGGCCCUGACAAAGGUUUUGUGAAGAUAUCAGCGAGCUGGGAAGAAGACGGAACAAAUCAAUCUAGAGAGAAAUUGUUGUCGCACAAAGUGACAAUCGAGUUCCACAUGUUUGGUACGUUCGUGGAAGACGGGAUUGCGAGCUAUAUGUAAAGCUGCCUGACUAUCAGAGUGAAUAGGAACUGGAAGAGUCGGAGGUACCGAUAGAUCUUGAAGGAGACGGUUCAACCAGGUUAAUUCAGCAAUAAGGCGACGCAUUGAGCGAUACUCUGCUUCCGCUGAAGACAAAGAGACGGAAACUUGCUUUUUGGACUUCCAUGAAAUGGGUGAACCUCCAAGACUUCUGAAAUACCCACUAAUGGGAUCUUCUGGAAUCAACACACGAAGCCCAAUCGGCAUCACAAAAGGCAAGAAUGGAAAAGGAAGGAUCUUUGCUCAUAAAAAGCCUUUGGACAGGAGCAGUGCGCAAAUAACGAAGAACUCUAAGAGCAGCUGAAAAAUGGGGAACACAGGGAGUUUGCAUAAACUGAAAUACGUGUUGAACCGCAAAUGAAAGAUCUGGUCGGGUAUGCGUCAAAUAGUUGAGCUUGCCAAUCAAGCGACGAUAAUAAGUGGUAUCAGAUAGUAAGCCACCAGUGUCAAUGGAGAGCUUGCAAGAAGGAUCCAAGGGAGAAGAGACCGGAGGAAGAUGAUCACAAUUGAACUCAGAAAGGAGGUCAAGAGUGAACUUGCGCUGACUGAUGAUGACACCUUGUGGUUCUUGAAGUAUUUCCAAACCUAGGAAAUAAUGUAAGUCCCCCAAAUCUUUGACUUUAAAUUCAUCAUUCAAGAAAUCUUUUAAUUUUACAAUCUCUGAUGGAUCAUUUCCAGUGAGUAAAAUGUCAUCGACAUAAAUAGCUACAAUAGAAAUUGAGUCCCCUAACCUCUUAAAGAAUAGUGAAUAAUCAUUGAGCGAUGAAGAAUAACCUUUAAAGUUUAAGGCAGCCCCUAAUCGAGCGUACUACUAUCGUGAGGCCUGUCGCAAACCAUAUAAUGACUUUUGGAGUUUGCAAGCAAGGUUAGAAUUUGUGAAAGGCAACCCAUUAGGAAGCUUCAUAUAAACUUCUUCUUGUAACUCACCAUGUAAAAAGGCGUUAUUCACAUCUAGUUGAGAUAUAGGCCAUCCUUUUUUCACUGCCACAGCGAGAAUGCAUCUAAUUGUGGUCAUCUUGACCACUGGUGAAUAGGUCUCGUUGAAAUCUAUGCCUUCUCGCUGAAUACCCCCUCGAAUGACCAAUCGUGCCUUUAAUCUUUCAAGAGUUCCAUCCGAUUUGUGUUUCAUCUUGUAAACCCAUUUACAAGGUAAAGCCUUCUUUCCGGGUGGCAAUUCAACCAACUCCCAAGUUUGGUUUUGCUCCAGAGAUGCAAGUUCAGAAUCCAUGGCUUUCUGCUAUCCAGGGUGCAUAGCAGCUCGAGAAUAGCUUAGUGGCUCAGUGAUAGUAGAAAUAGUGUUGAGUUGCUGUUGGUUUGAAACUGAAAGAGCUGCAAAGGGGAAUAUAGGGAGACUAAGGGGAUGAGUGAAACAGGCAACAGUCAAGUUAGUGAGAUAAAUAGAGUCACAAACAAAAUCAUUCAAAUAUGCAGGCCUGUUGUGUUCCCUUUGUGAUCUUCUGAGAGUGGGAAUAGGAGAGUGAGAUGUAGGGGUGGAGACAGUAGGUGUAGAGGCAGGAGAAGGUGAGGAGAUAGUAGACGAGGGAUCAGGAGAAGAGGGUAUAGGAGGAUCUUGUACAGUAGAAAUAGAAGGAGUUUUAGUGAAGAUGGGAUUUGAGAAAGAUGAAGAAGAAAAUGGGAAUUCAGUUUCAUGGAAAAGUACAUCUCUGGAAACAAACACCUUUCUAGUUUCUAGGUUCAAAUGUUUAUACCAUUUUCUUUCCUGUGGAUACCCUAGGAAAACACAAGGCAUAGCUCUAGGUUCAAAUUUGGCCCUAUUGUGUGGUAAAGUAGAAGCAUAGCAAAUACACCCAAAGCAUCUAAGGAAGCUAUAAUUGGGAGGUUUGCCAAAAAUGAGUUCAUAUUGUGUUUUUCCAUUUAGGAUAGAAGAUGGGAAUCUAUUGAUGAGAAAAGUAGCAGUGAAUAAACAUUCUCCCCAGUAAAUGAUAGGAAGUUUAGAUUGCUACAGUAAAGCCCUAGAAGUUUCCAAGAGAUGUCUAUGCUUCCUUUCAACGAUGCCGUUUUGUUGAGGAGUAGCAGUGCAAGAGGUUUGGUAAAUGAUUCCUUGUGAAGCAAAGAAAUCAGAAAUAGUAGAACCUCCUCCCAAUUCUAAUGCAUUGUCAGACCUGAUGACCUUAACUUUAGAAUGAAAUUGCCUUUCAACCAUAGCUAAAAAUACUUUAACAAUGGAAAAGCAUUACUCUUAGCACUCAAAAGAUAGGUCCAAGUUGCCCUACUAUAAUGAUCAACUAUGGUAAGGAAGUAUUUGUAUCCAUCAUAGGUAGGUGAUUUAUAGGGUCCCCAAGUAUCAAUGUGCACAAAUUCAAACACAGUAGUAGAUUUGAUAGAGCUAAGAGGGAAAGGUAAUCUGGAUUGCCUUGCUAAGGGGCAGAUUUCACAAAUGCAAUUAGAGUUAGGAAUAGAGGAAAUGAAACUGAACUUUAUCAUUGCAGAGAAUGGAAUGUGACUCAAUCUAAUAUGCCACAAUUUUAUAUCUGGAUUGCUUCCUUUAGGGACAGAAAUAGAACUACAAGUUGAAGUACAACUAGUAUGCAAAACUUUAGACUUAGAAAUUACUAAAGUGCUGAAAUAUUUCUGAAGCUGACUAGAAGAAGAAUUGAGAAGGUAAAUCUCAUUCCUUGCUUCACCAAGAACCAGAGGGAUCUUCACUGAAAUGCCCUGCAUAAGACAACAAGCAGGAGAAAACAUGAGAUUGCAUAUCAUUUGUUUGCAGAAUUUUUGCACUGAUAUAAGGUUAAUUCUAAAUAAAGGAACAAGAAGCACAUUAUGUAGGAUGAGAUUAGGAUAAAGAGUGAUUGUCCCCCCAUGAGUGACCUUAACUCUAAAUGAAUUAGGCAAGUUAAUAAACAAAGGCGUGGACAAAAAGGCAAGAGAGAUGAAGAAUUGAGAGUCAAAGGACAUAUGCUCCGAGGCCCCUAAAUCUAUGAUCCAAAAGUUAGAGUUAGCGCAGGUCAAGUAUGCCACAGGAUUGUGGAAAAUGUUACCAGCACAUUGAACCACAUUAGCUUGCACAUCUGAAGGCUCUGAAGGUGAGGUUCCAGUAUCACUGAUCUGGACAUUCUAAAGGAGUUGAAUUAGUUGAGAGAACUGAGUUUGUGAAAGAAAGCUUCCUCUCACUUGAUUUGCAAAAGGGAGUUAAACAUUUCCUUGGGACAACAUUGCUCCUUAUUCCACCUUGCAUCUUUGUUGUUUUAGUGAACUUAAAAUCUGAAGGGAAACCAAUUAUUCGAUAGUAUUUGUCAACUGAAUGGCCUAGUUUCUUGCAAUGAGAACAAAUCAAGUUAUUCUUCCUCCCUUUAAAGUCUGAUGAUUGAGAUUUCUGACCUAAAAUAUUUUGACGUGUGGCUAGGAAAGAAGAAAAGUCACCAGGAAACUGAGGAUUCACAUAUACUUCCCUCUGCCUCUCAUCUUGAACCAACAGAGAAUAGGCAAUAUUGAUGUUGGGGAGAGGGGACAUCAUUAGGAUGUUGCUCAUAACAGGAGAAUAUGUAUCAUUCAAGCUCAUGAGAAAUUGAAUCAACCUUUCAUCUUGAAGAGACUUAACCAAUUUCACCUAGCCACCACAGGUGCAGGCACAAGAACAGGUAACAGUAGUGUAAAUAACAUCAAGUUCAUCCCAUAAUAGCUUCAAUUUAGUGAAAUAGCCAACAAUAUCACUUGAUCCUUGCAUUAAGUCACUUAUUUCCUUUUGUAGGUGAUAGAGUUUAGCCUCAUUGGAUUGGACAAACCUAUCCUCAAGAUCUGUCCAAAGAGCUUGAGCAGAUUUAGAGUAAAGAACACUGGCAGCAAUUUCCUUUGAAAGGGAGUUGAGUAACCAAGAGGUUACCAUAUCAUUACACUAAGUCCACAAGUUAAAAGAGGUAGAAUCAGAGGCAGGAGCAGAGCAACUCCCAUCAAUGAAGCCCAACUUAUUUUUAGCGGAAAGGGCAAUAAGAAGAGACCUCCUCCAACCUCCAUAGCCACGACCAUCGAAAACAGAAGAGACGAGAGUCAUACCGGGUGAAUCUGAUGGGUGAAGAAAAUAAGGAUGGCUAGCAUCAAUAGUAGGAGAGGUGCUAGAACCACCAUCCUUAGAAGGAGCAUCAGAUGAAGACACCAUCUUUAGAAGGAGCAGAAGAAGUCCAGAAUCUAAGUGUGCUCUGAUACCAUGUAAAAGAGUGAAGUAAACGAGAGAGUAUUGAACAAUUUUCUACUUGCUUCUUUCAUUGAAUGUGUACCUAUUUGUACAACUUAUGAGCUAAGAGAAUAAAAUAAUAAUCAAUAAAACCUUCAUAGAGUUUGUCUGACUAGUGUUGGCUAAAGGAAUGACAAAAUAACUACCUAAAGAAUCCU
rnacentral:lncRNA from 1 species